CGAGGAUGAAGGCUUGCCUUUUUGAUGAUCCACUUCCCCUUAAUGAACAACGGAGUUUCGCUCUUGAACCUGGGAGGCGGACGUUUUUAAAAACAGCUGCCUGGAGAAGCGGCCGGACGCAGGGGAAGGCUGCGCUGCCGGAAAGGGUUAACCCCGCGGGCGCCGACAUCUGGCAGGAGCGAGGGCGUUGGCAGAGCCCGGUCCGCCCGUACCAGUCUGUACAGGGGAACUGUCCCGCCUGCUGAUUUAUCAUUCCCUAAUGUCACGGGGAUGGGAUGUUGAAAUUGUGGCUAGAAUGUGAAAUACGAAAAACACGAAGAUUAUGAUUUAGCGUCUGGGGAAGAUCAGCGUUAGCCUGCAGAACAGCUUGUAAACGGGAGGCAUCCUUGGCCCUAGCUUGUGGUUUUUGACUCCAACACUCAAGCUGGGGAUCUGGGCGGGCAGAGCUUUCUUGGGUUAGAGCAGACAGGCAAAAGUGGAAUUAAUAAGAGCAAAACCACUUCUGUGCUGCUAUGGGGAUAGUGCGGGCGAGCGCCAGGAGGACCAAAGUAAAUUUUAAUUAAACAGAGACCUGAUGUUGAAGGAUAAAUAAAACAACGUGGGGUGUAAACAGCUUAAAUCAGGGAUUCAAAUGACACCUGCGGGUGUCUAGACAUGAGGUGCAUCCUGAUAAUUUAUAGUCUCGGAG
rnacentral:lncRNA from 1 species